rnacentral:lncRNA from 1 species
UGCUUAGCCCUACACUCCGAUGCCUUCCUCGAUGACACCCUCUAAGGAUGAUAAGAUCCACACUAUCGAUAAGUCGAAUAAAUGAGAUUGACGAUGAUACACUCUUUCCAUUUUCUCUACUAUCUAAGGUUCUUGUGGAUUUGGACAAUCUCAUCAAUACCAGUGGCAAUGGGCUCUCCUCUACCUAAGGGUCUGCAUGUGCCCAUUGAGGGUCAACGACAUAGAGCUAUAUUCCGUCACCCCUAUUUUUGCUUAGCCUUAUAUCCAACUAGCAAGCUUCAACGGCCAUCACCCUAGAUCCUCCGCCCCCAUCCAUCACCACUUUUAUCUUCUCUCCGGUGCAUAAGGCCUCCUCCUUGGCCUUUCACCCUCAUCUCCACCACCU